AGAGUUUGAUCCUGGCUCAGGAUGAACGCUGGCGGCGUGCCUAAUACAUGCAAGUCGAGCGAACGGACGAGAAGCUUGCUUCUCUGAUGUUAGCGGCGGACGGGUGAGUAACACGUGGAUAACCUACCUAUAAGACUGGGAUAACUUCGGGAAACCGGAGCUAAUACCGGAUAAUAUUUUGAACCGCAUGGUUCAAAAGUGAAAGACGGUCUUGCUGUCACUUAUAGAUGGAUCCGCGCUGCAUUAGCUAGUUGGUAAGGUAACGGCUUACCAAGGCAACGAUGCAUAGCCGACCUGAGAGGGUGAUCGGCCACACUGGAACUGAGACACGGUCCAGACUCCUACGGGAGGCAGCAGUAGGGAAUCUUCCGCAAUGGGCGAAAGCCUGACGGAGCAACGCCGCGUGAGUGAUGAAGGUCUUCGGAUCGUAAAACUCUGUUAUUAGGGAAGAACAUAUGUGUAAGUAACUGUGCACAUCUUGACGGUACCUAAUCAGAAAGCCACGGCUAACUACGUGCCAGCAGCCGCGGUAAUACGUAGGUGGCAAGCGUUAUCCGGAAUUAUUGGGCGUAAAGCGCGCGUAGGCGGUUUUUUAAGUCUGAUGUGAAAGCCCACGGCUCAACCGUGGAGGGUCAUUGGAAACUGGAAAACUUGAGUGCAGAAGAGGAAAGUGGAAUUCCAUGUGUAGCGGUGAAAUGCGCAGAGAUAUGGAGGAACACCAGUGGCGAAGGCGACUUUCUGGUCUGUAACUGACGCUGAUGUGCGAAAGCGUGGGGAUCAAACAGGAUUAGAUACCCUGGUAGUCCACGCCGUAAACGAUGAGUGCUAAGUGUUAGGGGGUUUCCGCCCCUUAGUGCUGCAGCUAACGCAUUAAGCACUCCGCCUGGGGAGUACGACCGCAAGGUUGAAACUCAAAGGAAUUGACGGGGACCCGCACAAGCGGUGGAGCAUGUGGUUUAAUUCGAAGCAACGCGAAGAACCUUACCAAAUCUUGACAUCCUUUGACAACUCUAGAGAUAGAGCCUUCCCCUUCGGGGGACAAAGUGACAGGUGGUGCAUGGUUGUCGUCAGCUCGUGUCGUGAGAUGUUGGGUUAAGUCCCGCAACGAGCGCAACCCUU
rnacentral:rRNA from 11 species